rnacentral:rRNA from 1 species
CAGCAGCCGCGGUAAUACAGAGGGUGCGAGCGUUAAUCGGAUUUACUGGGCGUAAAGCGUGCGUAGGCGGCUAAUUGAGUCGGAUGUGAAAUCCCCGAGCUUAACUUGGGAAUUGCAUUCGAUACUGGUUAGCUAGAGUGUGGGAGAGGAUGGUAGAAUUCCAGGUGUAGCGGUGAAAUGCGUAGAGAUCUGGAGGAAUACCGAUGGCGAAGGCAGCCAUCUGGCCUAACACUGACGCUGAGGUACGAAAGCAUGGGAGCAAACAGGAUUAGAUACCCCAGUAGUCCCUGUCUCUUAUACA